AUUUAACAUCAUUAUAUAAUAUAUAGUUUAAAAAAAUCUCAAAAACAUUUCCGUCAUAUUUUGUGAUUCAAAAUUUUAAAAAUGAACAUAUAUUGACCAAAUUGGCGAAAAAUGUGUGGGUUCAACAUCCCGCAUCGACUAAAAUAUUUAGACAAUAAUUCAUAAAUAAGAUCAAUAUUAAUAAAAUAAAUGGUUUUUUUGCAGGACGGGUUUUGCGGGACGGGUUUGGCAGGACGUUACUUAAUAACAGUUGUAAACUAUAAAAUAAAAAUAUUUUAUAGAUAGAUACAAUUUACAAAUUUUUAUAUAUACUAACUUUAAAAAAUCAUUUGUCUCCGCGGUGUACCGCGGGUUAAAAUCUAGUACCACUUAAUUUCAUACUU
rnacentral:sRNA from 1 species